UUACGCGUUCCUAGCAACGAGGGCUGGAUUGCUGGAGCUGAGACCCGAUUGAGGAGGCAAGAAGUUAGGAGCUGUAGCCAUGAACUUGCUCGUGGAAGAGGAAGAAGAGGAGACUUUAGCCCCUCGUAUUAAGGAGCCAUCCGUGAACUCGGAUGACCCUCAGGAGCGGAUCCAGGCUCGGCGCCUCCGCAUCGCGGCACGCCAGGAAGCACGGAGGCGGGAAGCACUUGGAGAGUCUCUAGAUCGAAAGAAGGAGAGUGAGGAAGACCAGUCCAAGAGCUUCAAACAGAAGGAAGAAAGCAGACUGAGGUUGUCUAAGCUGCUGCUCUGUGGCACUGAGCUGGUGACAAACAUCCAAGUUGCUGCUGACAUCAGGGAGACUCACAGGAGGGUAGAUGAAGAUGAAGUAAAGCGUCAGAGAGUGGAAAAGCUGGAGAAUGAAGUCAAGACCAGUCAGGACAAGUUUUAUGACAUCACUGCAAAGUGGAAAGAGAGUAAAUUCAAGAGGAUUCCCCAAGAACUGUGGGACUUACUCAACGGGCAGCAGCAACAUUGUGCCAUGCUGAUAGAGGAGAAGAACAAGCUUAUUAGUGAUUUACAACAGGAGUUAAAAGGAAAAGAUGACCAGUAUGUGAAGGAUCUGAAGAGACAGGGGGAUGACAUUACUCUGCUGCUAGAGAGGAUGGAAGAACAAGUCAAGAAUUUAAUAAAGACCUUUCGUCAGGAGCUCAAUCACAUUGAGAAAGCAUUUGAGCAGGAGCGCCAAGAGCUACUGAUCAGUAAUAAGAAGAAAUGGGAGCGCGAGAUGCACAUUCACAAUUCCAAGGAGCUGGAGUAUUUGAUGACCCACAUGAAGAGGGUAGAGGAUUAUGAGAAGCAGUUAAAUCAGCAGAGGGUGCGGGACUCAGAAGAGUACAACUCCAUCAAGAUCAAGCUGGAACUGGAUGUGCAGAUACUAGAGCAACAGCUCCAGCAGAUGAAAGCAACUUAUCAGCUAAACCAGGAAAAACUAGAGUACAAUUUCCAAGUGCUUAAGAAAAGAGAUGAAGAGAACACAAUCAUUAAGUCCCAGCAGAAAAGAAGGAUCAACCGACUGCAUGAUGUGUUGAACAACCUGAGGAUGAAAAUGGCAAAGCAGAUAAAGCAGUAUCACGAGGACAAUGUAACCCUGACUGCAGACUACAAACGCAUUGUGAUGCAGUUCAGGGAUUUGCAGAAAACCAUGAGGCAUUUUGCACUUAUCAAUGACAAGCAGUUUCAGGAGGUUUGGAUCAUAAAUGAGGAGGAAGCAAAGGUUUUAAUGGAAAAAGCCCUUGACGCAGACAAAAUCAUCCAGUUACAGCAGCUGGGGCUUCCCUGGAUCAGACCUGACUACUGGUUCAUGAAGAAUGUGGGACCUAUUUCUCAGGUCAAGAAGAAGUCAGCUACUGAGUUAGUCCAUGAGCUGAUGUUGAUGGUAGAGGAGGAAGGAGACGAAAGCCGAAAAUCAAGCUUGAAAGAACAAAAGCCCAGACUGUCCCUGCCAAAACAUUUGUCUGCGAAGACGGUCAAACUAAUCCUGGAGAUUAUGUGUGAUGAAUCGGGUUUUCUGAUAGAGAGUAAAUUGCUGAGCCUUCUCUAUCCCCUCGAGAGGAACGAAAGCUGUCUCCUGAAGCUAGACUCCAUCUUUGCUGCCCUUGGGAUCGAAAAUGAAGAUGAUGUUUAUGCACUGGUGCAAUUCUUCCUUGACUUUCAAGCCAGGAGGAUGUCCGCUUUCCAGAACCUAGAGGGUCUGCCUCCAGGUCUGGAGACUGAAAAGACCACCAUCAAAAAGGAAAACAAUGUCCCGGAGGACUGCCGAGACCCACAACACCUUCUCCAUUCUGCGCUCAUUCAUCCUAAUGAUGUUCUCAAGGCCCUGGAGGCUUAUGUUAUUAGUCAGCAGAAACUCAGGGAAUCUCCAAUGCCAUUAAAAAUCGUGACACGCAGAGAGAUACGGGAUGACUCCAAGGACUCAGAAUACUGGGAGGCCCUAUGUUACAUCAUCCCUCUCCAGAGACAGAAGCUGUGGGAUGCGCUGAUUGACGCCUUCCAGAAGUACCAAAAGCAACAUCCUCACCCAGCGGGCCAAGCUGCUGAAUGACAACGAGUUCCUUGAGCAGCAGAACACAGAGCUGCAGAUGCUGCUGCAGCAGUAUAUUGAUUCCAGGAUAAACGUUGAGUUACAAGUCCCUCCCACCCAGGUAUUUCAAGCACCCAUGAAAUAGGAAAUCCAGGGCCUCAGGUGGGUAUGGUGGAUGGAUCCCAGGCUGGUGAUGGGGCCCUGCUUCUCUGGGGACCAUUACAGAACUGUUUGUUUAAACUUUCUGAAGCUCUUCUUUGUGUCUUGUUGCAUGUUGAUGCAAGUCACUGUGCAUAGGGAAUUAAUA